ACGCUCGACACCUACAGGAGGCAGCAGUGGGGAAUAUUGCACAAUGGGGGAAACCCUGAUGCAGCGACGCCGCGUGGAGGAAGAAGGUCUUCGGAUUGUAAACUCCUGUUGUUGGGAAAAGAGGAUGGUACCCAACAAGGAAGUGACGGCUAACUACGUGCCAUCAGCCGCGGUAAUCUGAGCGGGCUGGCAAGGC
rnacentral:rRNA from 1 species